AUUGAACGCUGGCGGCAGGCUUAACACAUGCAAGUCGAGCGGAGCGAGGGUGCUUGCACCUUAGCUUAGCGGCGGACGGGUGAGUAAUGCUUAGGAAUCUGCCUAUUAGUGGGGGACAACAUUCCGAAAGGGAUGCUAAUACCGCAUACGCCCUACGGGGGAAAGCAGGGGAUCUUCGGACCUUGCGCUAAUAGAUGAGCCUAAGUCGGAUUAGCUAGUUGGUGGGGUAAAGGCCUACCAAGGCGACGAUCUGUAGCGGGUCUGAGAGGAUGAUCCGCCACACUGGGACUGAGACGCGGCCCAGACUCCUACGGGAGGUAGCAGUGGGGAAUAUUGGACAAUGGGCGGAAGCCUGAUCCAGCCAUGCCGCGUGUGUGAAGAAGGCCUUUUGGUUGUAAAGCACUUUAAGCGAGGAGGAGGCUACUAGUAUUAAUACUACUGGAUAGUGGACGUUACUCGCAGAAUAAGCACCGGCUAACUCUGUGCCAGCAGCCGCAGUAACAC
rnacentral:rRNA from 1 species